rnacentral:rRNA from 1 species
GGCUACGGCCAUACCACCCUGAAUGCGCCCGAUCUCGUCUGAUCUCAGAAGCUAAGCAGGGUUGGGCCUGGUUAGUACUUGAAUGGAAGAAUGUGAAGUGGAGAGC